GCUGGAGUGGGUCAUCAGGAAGGAGACGGAGCUCAAUCAGCUGGAGCCGCUCCGCGCGGACGCAGCGGCGCUCCAGCAGCAGCAGGAGGAUGCCCGCUCUCUGCUGAGCCAGCUGUCGGACCGCCAGGCGCUCAUCAGUAGCAAGCUGAGCGCCGCCAGAGCGGUCAGCUCCGAGCCUGCCUUACACUGCGAGGCCAGCGAUACUGAAGGUCGAGGCGAGCGCGAUGGCUACGGCCGGGAGCGUCGCUCCGAGCUGGACCAGAGUCUGGAGCAGGCGAGGGCUAUCGGUCGGGAGGCGGCCAAGCUACAGGACAAGUGGCGAGAGCUCGGCCGACGCGCCGAACUCUUCCGACGACGCGCUGACUCGGCCCUGGC